rnacentral:rRNA from 1 species
UGGGGAAUAUUGCACAAUGGAGGGAACUCUGAUGCAGCGACGCCGCGUGAACGAAGAAGGCUUUCGAGUCGUAAAGUUCUUUUAUAUGGGAAGAUAAUGACGGUACCAUAAGAAAAAGCCCCGGCUAACUACGUGCCAGCAGCCGCGGUAAUACGUAGGGGGCUAGCGUUGUCCGGAACCACUGGGCGUAAAGGGUUCGCAGGCGGAAAUGCAAGUCAGGUGUAAAAGGCAGUAGCUUAACUACUGUAAGCAUUUGAAACUGCAUAUCUUGAGAAGAGUAGAGGUAAGUGGAAUUUUUAGUGUAGCGGUGAAAUGCGUAGAUAUUAAAAAGAAUACCGGUGGCGAAGGCGGCUUACUGGGCUCAUUCUGACGCUGAGGAACGAAAGCGUGGGUAGCAAACAGG